rnacentral:rRNA from 1 species
AGAGUUUGAUCCUGGCUCAGAAUCAACGCUGGCGGCGCGCCUAACACAUGCAAGUCGAACGAGAAAGUGGAGCAAUCCAUGAGUACAGUGGCGUACGGGUGAGUAACACGUGGGUGAUCUACCUUUUAGUGAGGAAUAACCCUGGGAAACCGGGGCUAAUACCGCAUAAGCCCGAGAGGGGAAAGUCGCAAGACGCUGAAAGAGGAGCCCGCGGCCGAUUAGCUAGUUGGUGGGGUAAGAGCCCACCAAGGCAGAGAUCGGUAGCCGGCCUGAGAGGGCACACGGCCACACUGGCACUGAAACACGGGCCAGACUCCUACGGGAGGCAGCAGUGGGGAAUCUUGCACAAUGGGGGAAACCCUGAUGCAGCGACGCCGCGUGAGCGAUGAAGCCCUUCGGGGUGUAAAGCUCUUUCGUCAGGGAAGAUAGUGACGGUACCUGGAGAAGCAGCUGCGGCUAACUACGUGCCAGCAGCCGCGGUAAUACGUAGGCAGCAAGCGUUGUUCGGAGUUACUGGGCGUAAAGGGUGUGUAGGCGGUUCUUUAAGUUUGGUGUGAAAUCUCCCGGCUCAACCGGGAGGGUGCGCCGAAUACUGAGGGACUCGAGUGCGGGAGAGGAAAGUGGAAUUCCUGGUGUAGCGGUGAAAUGCGUAGAUAUCAGGAGGAACACCGGUGGUGUAGACGGCUUUCUGGACCGUAACUGACGCUGAGACACGAAAGCGUGGGUAGCAAACAGGAUUAGAUACCCUAGUAGUCC